GAACGCUGGCGGCAGGCCUAACACAUGCAAGUCGAACGGUAACAGGAAGCAGCUUGCUGCUUUGCUGACGAGUGGCGGACGGGUGAGUAAUGUCUGGGAAACUGCCUGAUGGAGGGGGAUAACUACUGGAAACGGUAGCUAAUACCGCAUAACGUCGCAAGACCAAAGAGGGGGACCUUCGGGCCUCUUGCCAUCAGAUGUGCCCAGAUGGGAUUAGCUUGUUGGUGGGGUAACGGCUCACCAAGGCGACGAUCCCUAGCUGGUCUGAGAGGAUGACCAGCCACACUGGAACUGAGACACGGUCCAGACUCCUACGGGAGGCAGCAGUGGGGAAUAUUGCACAAUGGGCGCAAGCCUGAUGCAGCCAUGCCGCGUGUAUGAAGAAGGCCUUCGGGUUGUAAAGUACUUUCAGCGGGGAGGAAGGUGUUGUGGUUAAUAACCACAGCAAUUGACGUUACCCGCAGAAGAAGCACCGGCUAACUCCGUGCCAGCAGCCGCGGUAAUACGGAGGGUGCAAGCGUUAAUCGGAAUUACUGGGCGUAAAGCGCACGCAGGCGGUCUGUUAAGUCAGAUGUGAAAUCCCCGGGCUCAACCUGGGAACUGCAUCUGAUACUGGCAGGCUUGAGUCUCGUAGAGGGGGGUAGAAUUCCAGGUGUAGCGGUGAAAUGCGUAGAGAUCUGGAGGAAUACCGGUGGCGAAGGCGGCCCCCUGGACGAAGACUGACGCUCAGGUGCGAAAGCGUGGGGAGCAAACAGGAUUAGAUACCCUGGUAGUCCACGCCGUAAACGAUGUCGACUUGGAGGUUGUGCCCUUGAGGCGUGGCUUCCGGAGCUAACGCGUUAAGUCGACCGCCUGGGAGUACGGCCGCAAGGUUAAACUCAAAUGAAUUGACGGGGGCCCGCACAAGCGGUGGAGCAUGUGGUUUAAUUCGAUGCAACGCGAAGAACCUUACCUGGUCUUGACAUCCACGGAAGUUUUCAGAGAUGAGAAUGUGCCUUCGGGAACCGUGAGACAGGUGCUGCAUGGCUGUCGUCAGCUCGUGUUGUGAAAUGUUGGGUUAAGUCCCGCAACGAGCGCAACCCUUAUCCUUUGUUGCCAGCGGUNNGGCCGGGAACUCAAAGGAGACUGCCAGUGAUAAACUGGAGGAAGGUGGGGAUGACGUCAAGUCAUCAUGGCCCUUACGACCAGGGCUACACACGUGCUACAAUGGCAUAUACAAAGAGAAGCGACCUCGCGAGAGCAAGCGGACCUCAUAAAGUAUGUCGUAGUCCGGAUUGGAGUCUGCAACUCGACUCCAUGAAGUCGGAAUCGCUAGUAAUCGUGGAUCAGAAUGCCACGGUGAAUACGUUCCCGGGCCUUGUACACACCGCCCGUCACACCAUGGGAGUGGGUUGCAAAAGAAGUAGGUAGCUUAACCUUCGGGAGGGCGCUUACCACUUUGUGAUUCAUGACUGGGGUG
rnacentral:rRNA from 1 species